GACGAACCGUCCAAACGUUGUUCGGAAUCACUGGGCUUAAAGGGCGCGUAGGCGGGCUGCCAAGUCAGGGGUGAAAUCCCACGGCUCAACCGUGGAAGUGCCUCUGAUACUGGCGGCCUCGAGGGAGGUAGGGGCGUGCGGAACUUCCGGUGGAGCGGUGAAAUGCGUAGAUAUCGGAAGGAACACCGGUGGCGAAAGCGGCGCGCUGGACCUCUACUGACGCUGAGGCACGAAAGCGUGGGGAGCAAACAGG
rnacentral:rRNA from 1 species